CCUGGGGUCGAUUUGCUCGACUAAAGGCGGUGCUCCAGCAUGGCCACAGUCACAUGACUGAAACAAGUAAAAGAGUAUCUAUUUCCAUGCUGGCAUGGGUUCAAUACUUUGACAGGAGCUGGUAAGUCCAGGGGCCACACCAGGCGGCUCCCUUGUAUACUUUGGCAUGGUUUCUACAUCUGGAUACCCUUCCUAACACCAACCACUUUACAAAGUGUACUGGGUGCUUUUUACACGGCACCAAUGUGUUUUACUAUGUCCAUGUUAAGUAGGAUAUAUAGAUUGCUAUUUGGUACAACACUGCUUCUAUUACUCCUAAUGUUUCAAUAAGUGUAUGAUGAAACAUACCAAAUGUUUUCCCACAAAAUAUUCUUGUAAAAUAGGGUGUGUGUCUUAUAUGCUGGCAAAUACGGCAGUUAUUUGCAGGUCUUCCAAAGUCUGUCUUUGAAAUAAAUAUUUCACCUUUACCAAUUACUCAUUCCACCGUAAAUCACCUGUUCUUGGGUAAAUGUCCGAAUCAAGCCAUCUCUAUGAAUGUGUCCUUGAUAUUCAAUCUUUAUUGUUAACAUUGCAUAUCCAACAGAUAACGCUCAAUACGAUCCACUGCAAUUGCUGUAGAACCUCAAAAUAUUUGCUUGAAAGCUAUUGGUAUUCCAUCACAAAAGAAAUCCAUAAAAAAAAUUCUGUCAUCCUUGAAUUAGGUAUAUUUUAUUUCAAUUUUCAUCUAACAAAUAUCACAGAAAUUUAAUAUUUUGAAUUAACUGUUUAAUGUUGCAGUCAGUAAUAAAGCCCAGGAUUAAAUAUCUAACCUGUAGUUCCGAAGUCUCAUUCCUCAGUUAAAUGUAGGGACAAGGUUUGGUAGGGGGUAACGAAAGGGUUAAGUUUAAUAUGUGAAUAUAUCCAUAGUCCUGAACAGGAUUCUCUUUGUUUUUUUCACACAGUUAAAUACUAACAAUAUAUUUUCUGGUCGAUGAACACAAGACCAUCAUGUAACCUCGGGUGAAAAGCACUAACCCCAAAUCUCUAUAACGAAAUGUUAGCUAUAAAUUAAACAUAUA